rnacentral:rRNA from 1 species
UUGGAGGGCAAGUCUGGUGCCAGCAGCCGCGGUAAUUCCAGCUCCAAUAGCGUAUAUUAAAGUUGUUGCAGUUAAAAAGCUCGUAGUUGAAUUUCGGGGUCAGUAGGUCGGUCGUGCCACUGGUAUGAACUGGUUUUACUGAUUCCUCCCUCUUGAAGAACUGUAAUGCCAUUAAUUUGGUGUUGCAGGGAAUCAGGACUGUUACUUUGAAAAAAUUAGAGUGUUUAAAGCAGGCUUUAGCUUGAAUACAUUAGCAUGGAAUAAUGAAAUAGGACGUUUGAUCCUAUUUUGUUGGUUUCUAGGAUUGACGUAAUGAUUAAUAGGGAUAGUUGGGGGCAUUAGUAUUCAAUUGUCAGAGGUGAAAUUCUUGGAUUUAUUGAAGACUAACUACUGCGAAAGCAUUUGCCAAGGAUGUUUUCAUUAAUCAAGAACGAAAGUUAGGGGAUCGAAGACGACCAGAUACCGUCGUAGUCUUAACCAUAAACUAUGCCGACUAGGGAUCGGAUGAUGUUAAUUUUUUAAUGACUCAUUCGGCGCCUUACGGGAAAC